rnacentral:rRNA from 1 species
CUCGGAAUUACUUUGCGUAAAGCGCACGUAGGCGGCUUCUUAAGUCGGUGGUGAAAUCCUGGAGCUCAACUCCAGAACUGCCUUCGAUACUGGGAAGCUCGAGUCCGGGAGAGGUGAGUGGAACUGCGAGUGUAGAGGUGAAAUUCGUAGAUAUUCGCAAGAACACCAGUGGCGAAGGCGGCUCACUGGCCCGGUACUGACGCUGAGGUGCGAAAGCGUGGGGAGCAAACAGG